UACGUAGGGGGCAAGCGUUAUCCGGAUUUAUUGGGCGUAAAGCGAGCGCAGGUGGUUUAUUAAGUCUGGUGUAAAAGGCAGUGGCUCAACCAUUGUAUGCAUUGGAAACCGGUAGACUUGAGUGCAGGAGAGGAGAGUGGAAUUCCAUGUGUAGCGGUGAAAUGCGUAGAUAUAUGGAGGAACACCGGUGGCGAAAGCGGCUCUCUGGCCUGUAACUGACACUGAGGCUCGAAAGCGUGGGGAGCAAACAGG
rnacentral:rRNA from 1 species